CCUGAUCACUGUAACUUUCCUAACCACUUGACUAUUGAUGGUAAAAUAUUGACUAAUCCUGAAGAUAUCGCUGAUUAACAUGAGAAACCCUGUUUCGCUUAAUAACUUCACUAUUAAUUCAAAUUGGGACUACCUUUCUAAUUUUCAUUCUUCUAAAUUCCUCCAAAUACAACCUUUACUAUCCCCCCAAUAUCUGAAAGUUUUGUUCGAAACAGCCUUAAUCAUCUGCAGUGAAAC